CGGAGCGUGGCGCAGCUUGGCAGCGCGCGUGCCUUGGGCGCACGAGGUCGCGGGUUCAAAUCCCGCCGCUCCGACCA
rnacentral:tRNA from 1 species